rnacentral:rRNA from 2 species
CUUGGUCAUUUAGAGGAAGUAAAAGUCGUAACAAGGUCUCCGUUGGUGAACCAGCGGAGGGAUCAUUACCGAGUUUACAACUCCCAAACCCCUGUGAACAUACCAAUUGUUGCCUCGGCGGAUCAGCCCGCUCCCGGUAAAACGGAACGGCCCGCCAGAGGACCCCUAAACUCUGUUUCUAUAUGUAACUUCUGAGUAAAACCAUAAAUAAAUCAAAACUUUCAACAACGGAUCUCUUGGUUCUGGCAUCGAUGAAGAACGCAGCAAAAUGCGAUAAGUAAUGUGAAUUGCAGAAUUCAGUGAAUCAUCGAAUCUUUGAACGCACAUUGCGCCCGCCAGUAUUCUGGCGGGCAUGCCUGUUCGAGCGUCAUUUCAACCCUCAAGCCCCCGGGUUUGGUGUUGGGGAUCGGCGAGCCUCACGGCAAGCCGGCCCCGAAAUACAGUGGCGGUCUCGCUGCAGCUUCCAUUGCGUAGUAGUAAAACCCUCGCAACUGGUACGCGGCGCGGCCAAGCCGUUAAACCCCCAACUUCUGAAUGUUGACCUCGGAUCAGGUAGGAAUACCCGCUGAACUUAAGCAUAUCAAUAAGCGGAGGA